rnacentral:lncRNA from 1 species
CCGAAUACACCGUCAAAAAUCACAGGAGAGUGGGCAGGAGAUCAGCUGAGCCAACCUUCCUGGACGAAGAUAGCGCCAACAGAGAAGAUCCAGCGAGUGGCGGCGUGAAAGGGAGUGCGCAGGACAGGGAACCUCGUGGCAGCUUGGAACAACAGUGGCCAGCUUGUACGGGAGUCCAUGGCGAAUUUCUUUCGAGGCAGAUUGGAAAGGAGCAAGGGCUGACCUCCUGGCAACAACAGCCGUCGUCCUGUAGAUCACGACCGACGAAGGAUCCGGGAGGUUGCGGCCGAUAGGGACCCGACGUGCGACUCGAUCAUGAGCAGGCGAUAGGGAGCCUCGAUCUUGGACACAAACCAGAGGAAACACACCAGUCUGGAGUUGGAUCGAUCAACAACUACGUUGGGCUGGAUGCGUUGACCAGUGGAGAACUUGGUAGGCAACAACAGUAGGCGAGGUGUCAGGGAGAGUGACCCCGGAGCAGGGUUGGCCUGUAGAUGAGCAGCGCCGUGCAGACGAGAAGGGCAACGUCUACGUGAACGGGAGAUUGGAUCGAGAUCACGAGUUUCGCGUGCGGAAAAGAACCCUAAGGCUCUAAUACCAUGUUAAGAAUAUGCAACUUGUANNNNNNNNNNNNNNNNNNNNNNNNNNNNNNNNNNNNNNNNNNNNNNNNNNNNNNNNNNNNNNNNNNNNNNNNNNNNNNNNNNNNNNNNNNNNNNNNNNNNCAUGGGACCCACUGGUCAUUUUGACCAGUCAAUUGUUGAUGUCAUCAUGACAUCAUGCUGAUGUCAUAAUAUCAUUUAAUAAUUAAUUAAAUCUGUUUUUAAUUCCUAAAUAUAAAUAAAACUUUGAAAAUUAAUAUAAAAUAAACCGUAAGUCAGAUCAAAAUAGUUUCAACAUGAAAGUUGAUCAUAAGGACGAGACAAACCCGGAUACACGGUCCAUUCGUAUGUCAUGCGUCCCUAGCAUAGCAAACAUGAAACUUUUUCAUCGUUUUCAGUCUGACCGUUAGUAGCCAGAGACCCGGAAAAUAUCAUCAGCUAUUCUUCCGACCCGUCUGCGACAUGUGUUGCUGCGUUAGCUCAUGCCUAGCCUGCAUAUUGCCAUGUCAUGCUUAGUGUUGCACCUGUUGCUGUUAUUUAUUGUUUCUUCCCCCUCUUCUUAUCGGUAGACCCCGAGACUGACGCUGCUGCCGGGUACAUCUACGCCCCUGACGACCAGCCUUUUGCCGCAGAGCAACAAGGCAAGCAAACCCCCUUGAUCAUCCUAUAUCGCCUAUGUCUUUCUUCCUCCUGCUUGCAUUAGAAUUUUGCUAGUGUUGUAGUUAGCUCCUAUAUUUGAUGCAUAGCCUAAUUUUUAAUGAACCACUACUUUCAGUACCGUACUUUUAAUCUGCUUAGUAUAGGUUGAGCAAUCAUCCCCUCUGACCCCUUAGUCCAAUUGCCCCGCUUAAUUGUCGAGUCUCAUUCAUGAUCGACGAGCCAAGUACCGACACAUCACUCACACCCCCUUAGUUGUGCGGCGCUACAGAGCUACUAUCGGGUACCAAGGGUGACACCUCGCAAAGUACUCCUGAUGAUAUCUCCGUAGUACAACUAGUCGAUCGUGGUUAUCGAGGGUGAUUCCUCCUUCACCACUCCCGACGAUAUCUCUAUCGUGCAACCCGUCAAGUGUGGGACCCUCGAGGGUGGUUCCUCUAGGUCCACAUUGACGGUUACAUCGUUCGGCAUCCAACGAGGGUGAUACCUCGGAUCCCCGUGAUGUUACAACCUCACAGUUACCCGACCAUGUUACUGGGGUGUUUGAUGAUUAGAUGUUAGGCGGGUGGAUUCCCGCGUGGAUGUGUCGAUGACUUAAUUAAAAUGAUAAUGGAUUUGGGUAUUUGAUCUGGGUUGGUCGCAAGGUCUUAUUACGCACUAACCGUCUGCGUGGGAAGAGAUAUGGGUACUCGAUGUCGCGGUGUCAGUCGAAGCUCUUCAGACGUCAGCGAUGGAGCGGUGCGCGCCCGAGUGGUCCCGAGAUGCAUCGCUCUAGUAUUAAGGGGUGCUAGGACUGACAUCGUCCGCCCACGCAUCAUGCAGGAGCGCGGAGGGCAAGUGGGCCCACGACCCCUUUGUCCUUAGGAGUUAGACCGGCGGGCUGGCCUCUGUGUUGAGCUUAGGUGGGGUUGCGACGUGUCGAUAUUCCGAGGCCGGGCAUGACCCAGAAAAGUGUGUCUGGCUAGAGUGUUAUCGAGCGUGACGGGGAAUAUGUUGUGCACCCUUGUAGGGAAGAACUUAUCUAUUCGAAUAGCCGUGUCCACGAUUACAGGACGACUUGGAGUUGUGCCCUGAUCUUAUACAACUACAACUAUUACUUAACUGGAAUUGUUGCCCUGGGAUUGCUUCCUCGCACGGAGUCGAGGGAGGAUCUUUGGACGUGACCUCGUAUUAAUAUUGCUGCAACAAUAUGACUAUUAUUUGUGUUACCUUGCUCUAGUCUCGUUUAUUGCUGCAAGACCCUUGAAGAUGCUAGUCUUCGAUAGGACUAGGCCUUCUCUCCCCUUUCUCGCAUUGCUGCAGUNNNNNNNNNNNNNNNNNNNNNNNNNNNNNNNNNNNNNNNNNNNNNNNNNNNNNNNNNNNNNNNNNNNNNNNNNNNNNNNNNNNNNNNNNNNNNNNNNNNNUAUAGAAUACUCAAGCUUGGUAGCCACGUGGCGCAUAACUUCCUGGUAGUGUUCCAUCCUCUACGGGACCAGAUUCCUGGAGGGCGACCCAGGGGGAGAACAACAGUUUCUAGAGUAGCGACUCGUCCGUGCCCUCCUACAAGGUUGGUUCACCAGCGCGUGCCUCCAUGGGCAUCAAUACAUCCGGUUCCAGGCACUGGCAUCGGCGAUGGAGCAUGCUUCGGCUGGUUAGCUGCCAGACAUGUGUGUUGCUGCUGCCGUGCAGUCACCUGUGCUUGUGCCGCGUGUGCACAACCGCCGGGGACAUGUACCUGUUGUANNNNNNNNNNNNNNNNNNNNNNNNNNNNNNNNNNNNNNNNNNNNNNNNNNNNNNNNNNNNNNNNNNNNNNNNNNNNNNNNNNNNNNNNNNNNNNNNNNNNNNNNNNNNNNNNNNNNNNNNNNNNNNNNNNNNNNNNNNNNNNNNNNNNNNNNNNNNNNNNNNNNNNNNNNNNNNNNNNNUACAACAGGUACAUGUUUUUCUUGUUCUCUUGAUUGAAGCAACUGUUUACCAUUUGCGGUAGGAAAAUCAAUCUUUUGGCGUCGGCAAGCUUGAUCUUGUUGCAUCAUGCCGAAACAUAUCUGCUUGCGCAAGUUAUGGUUUGUUCAGUUAGGCGGAUUAAAAGCUAAGUUUUGUCGCCCUCGUCCCUGCAUCGAUGUCGACAUCGGCGAGCUGCUCGAGAUUACACAUCCUUCAUCUCAUCCUGAUCUCCGCUCCCCGCACACCUCUUGGUAUUGGUGAUGUGUGGAACAUGUUGGCUAUGAGUGUUCUGUUAUGUUCCAUGUAUAUAUUUUUUUUGUUGUAUGAGGGGUUUCCUGCAUAUUCACCACCUGCAUGUGUGUAGUAUAUAUACUACUUUAUCAUUCUAAAUAUGUUCAUAUACUAUAUCUAGUAUAUUUCAAAGAAACCUAUACGAUAAAAGUUUAUAGUGUAGUCUCCCACAUAAGACACUGCAGGGCACGUACCCCAUAUAACUGGUAGGACUAGGGUUCCUACCGGGCCUUCGGCGUAGAUUGUAUGGGCAAGGAGGAGGGGAGCGAGGGCUGGAGCGGGCGCGCCGGCGAGAUGGCGCCGUCGCGGCUAGGGUUGGGCGCGGCGGUGGCUAGGGUUCCGGCUCCUUGGGGAGCCGGGCAACAGAAGAUAAUAUCUUUAUUGCUUGAUCUCAAUUGAUGUCUUACAACUAGUAUUUAUAACUCGAGCCUAAGAUAACUUUCCUAAAAUAAUUUGCCUAAGAUAACUUGCGGGCCAAGCCCNNNNNNNNNNNNNNNNNNNNNNNNNNNNNNNNNNNNNNNNNNNNNNNNNNNNNNNNNNNNNNNNNNNNNNNNNNNNNNNNNNNNNNNNNNNNNNNNNNNNGGAUAAUAUGAAAGAGCAUAAGAAAAAGGAGGGGGAGGAGGAGAAGAAGAAGAAAUCAAGAAGAAGGAGGAGGAGGAGGAGAAGGAUAGAAGGUCCUUGGCCUUCUCCUCCUCCUCCUCCUCCUUCUCCUUCUUCUCUUCUUCUUCUUCUUCUUCUUUCUUUUCAUUUUGCCUAUUUCUUCUCCUCUUCUCCUCUUGUUGGAGCUAAAUUACCUAAUUAUGUCUUUUUUGAGCUAAAUGGGCUAAUUAUCCCAUUUUAGAGGAAAACAAGCUAAGUAUAUAAUAUUAAUGAGCUAACCAAGGUUCUUAUGCCAUUUUGAGCUUAUUAUGGUAUUUUGGAGCUAAAUGGACUAAUUAUGUCAUUGUUGGGGACAUUAAAGCAAUUGCAAGGAUAAUAUGAAAGAGGAGAAGAAAGAGGAGGAGGAGGAGAAGAAGAAGAAAUCAAGGAGGAGGAGGAGGAGAAGGACUAGAAGGUCCUUGUCCUUCUCCUCCUCCUCCUCCUCCUCCUCCUCCUUCUCCUUCUUCUCUUCUUCUUCUUCUUCUAUCUUUUCAUUUUGCCUAUUUCUUCUCCUCUUCUCCUCUUGUUGGAGCUAAAUUACCUAAUUAUGUCUUUUUUGAGCUAAAUGUUCCAAUUAUGUCAUUUUAGAGGAAAACAAGCUAAGNNNNNNNNNNNNNNNNNNNNNNNNNNNNNNNNNNNNNNNNNNNNNNNNNNNNNNNNNNNNNNNNNNNNNNNNNNNNNNNNNNNNNNNNNNNNNNNNNNNNGGGAGAGGAUCUACAAGUUGCUGAGGAGUUUGAAAUAUACGAUCAAUAUCAACCCCUAAAAAUGUAUAUAUUCGGCUGAAGAAAUUGGUCUUCUGCUGAAGACUUUGAUCGCGAAGAAAUUGCGAUGAAAUUGAUAUUCCUCAUGAAGAUAUUGAAGAUGAGGAAUUCGGUGUGUCCUGAAGAAAAACGAUCUGAAAACUUUGAAGCGUGAAGAUUUAUUCUUUCUCUUUCAUUUUCUUCACUCUUGAGUCAAAGGAACACCGUAUUGUUAAAGGGGGUCGAGGUAACACUAGGGAAUGAAUUUCCUCAUGAUGCUCAACCCAAGCCUAAUCCUACAAAAUCCUCAAGUGAGGAAUAUGAGAGACAUCAUGACUCUCACAGCUCAGGGUCCCGACCGUUGCCGCAAUUCUCGCCACAUCAUCGAUCUUAUCCACACCAAUGGUCAUAAUAUUUAAGGGCAUUAAUGUAAAAUCAUGCCGGGAUGCUCCCAGGCUAUAAAUAGCCACCCCCACAACCAUUAGCUGGUUGGCUGCUCCGCAAGAAACUGACACUUGUCAUUUAGAGCAACCCAAAUCCCUCAGAGUUUUCGAGAGUAAAUCAUCAAUGAGGAAAUACCCCAAACACCAAACCACAAACCAAAAACCAAGUGAUUGUGCAUCACUGAAGAAUUUGUUCCCGUGUGGAACUGAAGCCUUUUACCAUUUAGGACUAUGCAUCCUCCAUACGGUUAGGCGUCAUGGUCUAGAGCAAUCCAGCAGUCAAUUGUGGAUCGUCGGGUGACCAAGUUUGUGAGGGUUUGGAAGUCUACCCUGAAGACUUACCACGAGUGUUGGGCGAGGACUAUGUGUCCUUAGCUCAAGGAGAAUACGGUAGGUACUGUGUGUCCCGGGACUGUGUGUCUUUUGGUUUCAAUACCAAGACGCUCCAAACCAGACGUACAACUGUCACAACAGUUGGAACUGGGUCAUGAACCAUUGUCUUCACUGUGAUACGGGUUCUAAUUCUUCAACUCUUUCAAUUCCUCAAUAUUGAAUGUUGAAGAUUUUCAUUCUCACUGUUUGAAGAAUUUGCUGAAGACUUUCUCUGAAUUUCCUCAACCUCAAAUUCUUCACGCGAGUUAAUCCUCACUUGUUUACUGUGUGCGUGCGUAUUGUGCAAACUGUUUUCAUAUUCCUCAUCUUGAAAACUGCUGUAGUGAUACUUUGCACCCCUGAUCCUUUGUUGUUUCUGUUGCAAGUUAUUCAUCAGUGAGGAAUUUCCUCAAAAGGAAUUUCCUCAGCGAUGAAAUUCUAAAAAUCUCCUAUUCACCCCCCUCUAGUCGAUAUAACGCACUUUCAAUUGGUAUCAGAGCAAGGUACUCCCUUGUUCUGUGUGAUUUUGGUUUAACCACCUCGAGUUUUAGUUAUGUCGACUGUAGGCAUGAUCAAGGUUACUGCACGAUGUCCUACUUUCGAGGGAAAGGACUUUCCCUUCUAGAGGACUAAGAUGCAGAUGCAUCUACAUGCUAUUGACAAUGAUCUCUGGUAUAUUGUGGAACAUGGUGUUCCCUCCAUCACUGCUACUAUCUCUGCCGCUCAUGUGAAGAAAUUCAAACAACUUGAUUGUCAAGGGAAUAAUAUCAUUUGUGGCCAUCUGAGCAAAGGUCAGUAUGGUAGAGUGAGUGCUUUGGGCUCAACAAAACUAACCUGGGAAAGGCUGUCCAAAGUCAAUGAAGGAGUAUCAACUCAGCAUGACUCUUGUGUUGAUGUUCUUUGCAAUCUCUUCAAUUGCUUCAAGAGGCUUGACAAUGAAAGCUGCCAAGAUACCUUUGAUCGCCUCACUGACAUAUCAAAUGAACUCCAAGCACUCAGAGCUCGACACAUUACUGACCAUGAAGUUGUGAAGAAACUACUAAGAUCUUUGGAUUCAUCAUUUGAUACACUGGUUCUGAUGAUCCAAGAAAGACCAGACUACAAGAUGCUUGAUCCUACUGAUAUACUCGAGAGACUCAAUACUCAUGAAUUCCAACAGGAAGAAAAUAGAGAUCUAUAUGGACCAAGCUAUUAUAGACCUCGUGCAUUGAAUGCCAAAGCAAUUUCCUCAUCUGAAGAAGAAGACUCAGAUUGUAGCAUUGGUGAUCCCGAAGAACUUGGACAGGAGCUUGUAAUGCUCGUGAGAAAAUUCCAGAAGUUUACAAGAUGUGGCCAGUUUGGUAAAUCUUCAAGAAGAGAUAUGAGGAAAUCAGAAUCUUCAUCUGAGGACUACAAGAAAAGAACCUGCCACAAAUGCAAGAAAUCGGGUCACUAUAUUGCUAAUUGUCCUCGUUGGGUGAAGGAAUCAAAGAAGAAUAAAUACAAGGAUGAAAUUUUUGAUGACUCAAAGAAACAGAAAAAAUCUUCAAAAUCAUAAUCCUCAAAGUCCUCAUCGCACAAGAAAACCAGUUUCAGAAAGGCUCGGGCACUUAUUGGCAAGGAAAUGGAUUCUGAAGCAGAAUCUGAGGAAUGUGAUGAAGAGGAGGGUUCUGAAGAAGACUCAGAGUCUGGUGUGGCUAGUCUUGCACUGGCUACCACAUUUGUCAGCAAGUCAAUCUUCAACCUUGAAGAAAACGACAACGCCAUCGACUCCGAUGACUAUGCUGAUGACUUCGCUCCAACCUAUUGCUUCAUGGCAAAAGGUUCAAAGGUACUGAAUGACAUUUCCUCCUCUGAUUCAAGUGACUAUAAACCUGAUGAUUAUAAAAAACCCAGUUAUAGUAAACUUGCCAACAUUGCAACUAAACAACAAACUGCCCUUGAAAAGCUUCAGAAACUGCUAGACAGAAGCGAUGACCUGUUGAAUGAUGAAAUGAAUCUUACCCAAAUCCUCACUGAAGAUAUGAAAAGUCGUCAGUCCAGAUUUGAUAAUCUUCAAGAUCGUCAUGUCACACUCUUGGAUGAUCAUGAGAAACUUUCCUAUCAAUUUCUUCAAAGGAAACUUGAUCUUGAGAAGCUGAGGAUGUAUCAUGAUGAUCUUCGAAUUGAAAACGAUUCAUUAUUUGCUUAACAGAUCAGUGCCUCUCCGGUUGAAUUCAUUCCACCAUGUCUCAAAUGCAUCGAACGUGAAACUGCCAAUUCUUCACGAGAAUCAUCAAAUGCCUCUAUUGCUACAAAUUCUUCAACUGCUCAUGUGGUAUCAAAUUCCUCACUUGAGGAAACCACAAAUGUCACUGACGAAAAUGCAGGGCUGAAGGAAUUGUAUGUGACAUGCAUGUACAAAAUUAUCUAAGGGCAUCAAACCCUUUGCAAUGUGCUCAAAAAACAGAUAUUGAACAGGAACUCGAGGAAAGAAGGAAUUGCCUUUGAGAGGAAAUUAAAUGUUGAUAGAUCAUACUGGAAACCCGAGCAGUAUCCCAAAACCUCAUGGGUUGCUGCUAAAGGACCACCUGCUGAUUCAUCCAAUCUAACAAUCUUUGCAUGUGAAUUAUCCUAUUCCUCAGAUGAGUCAUUUGACUCCAACUAUAAACUGUUCAGAAAUCAAUCUGGUGAAGUAUUUGCUCAAUAUGUUGGAACUAACUACAGGAAUGGACCACCCCUGAGGAAAAUUUGGAUCCCCAAAAGUUGCCUUGAAAAUCUUCGGGCGAAUGUCCUCAUGACACCACCUAUGAAGAAUCUGAACCCCAGAUCAAAUUCCUUAGGAGGACCAAAAUCUUCAAGAGGACCAAAAUCCUUAACUGGUCAAAACUAUGCUCGUACUCGUGCUAAUGCUUCUGAUAUGCACGGAAAUUACAAGGGAUAUGAAUAUGAGCAUUAUACCUCAAAUCAUUAUGUUCAUAAAUCGUCAAAGAACUUCUCUGCCUAUUCAUUUGAGUACUCUAACCCCCCUAUUGUGAAGAGAAGUGCAUUAGCUUCAAUGCCUCCUUUCUCAUAUGGUGCUCGCAGGAUGAUGAACUCUUUGCCACCCCUUCAGAUGUGGGUGGUGAAGAAAGUGAACUAAUCACUUCUGCAGGUCAGGUCUCCACAUGAAAAUCAUCAUCUGAGGAAUUUGCUGGAGACCUGAGGAAAAUGCUUGCCUGGACGCAAGCAAACAUUGAUGAAAUGAUAACAUUUCACACGUCCUCAAAUUUACUGUUUAUGAUGAAAUUCCUAUCUGAUGAAAUUGAUAUCAUAUUCUUCAAGUCUGAAGCAUAUGAGAUGGUAAGUUGUACUAAUUCAUCUACAGGAUGACAAACCCAAGAGUACUGAGUGGGUUCUUGAUAGUGGCUGCGCACACCACAUGACUGGUGACAAAAGCUUGCUGAUGAAUAUGCCACUGACUCCAUCACCACUGAAGCAAAUCACUUAUGCUGACAAAGGUAAAAGCAAGGUAUUGGGACUUGGCAAAGUGGCUAUUUGCAAGGACAUGCAUAUGGUCAAAGUGAUGCUUGUUGAAUCCCUUGGGUUUAACCUCAUGUUAGUCUCAAUGCUCUGUGAUCUUGAUAUGGUUGUUAUCUUCGGAAAAUAUAUAUGUGUAGUCAUCAUGGAAUCUGACAGAUCCAAAGUCUUCGAGGGUGUUAGACGAGGAGAUUCGUACAUUGUUGAUUUUUCUACAGGUCCUCAACCAGCCACAUACUUAUUAGCAAAAACCUCAGAAGGCUGGCUAUAGCAUCGAAGACUUGGUCAUGCAGGCAUGAGGAAUUUGCACACGCUGGCAAAGAAGAAGCAUGUCAUUGGCAUUGAAUCAUUCAAAUUCCUCAAGGACCACCUCCAUGGUGCUUGUGAGUCUAAAAAAUGACCAGAUCCAAACACCCCUCGAAGACUAUCAUGACUACUACUCGUCCAUUUGAAUUGCUUCACAUGGAUCUAUUUGGACAUACUCAUUAUGCCACUCUAACAAAUGCAACAUCUUUAUACGGCUUUGUCAUAGUUGACGAUUAUUCCAGAUACACUUGGGUGCAUAUCAUUCUGUAUAAAACUGAAGUGCAGGAAGUCUUCGAACGAUUCUCCUCAAGGGCCUCGACGAACUUCGAUGUCAAGAUCAAACACAUCAGGAGUGAUAAUGGGACAGAAUUCAAAAACACUGGUUUUGAUGCUUAUCUAGAUGAAACUUGGUAUUACUCACGAAUUUUCUGCUCCUUAUACUCCUCAACAGAAUGGCGUCGUCGAAAGAAAGAACAGGACUCUGGUUGAGAUGGCAUGAAUCAUGCUUGAAGAAUAUCAGACUCCUCGUCGUUUCUGGCCUGAAGCAAUCAACACUGCUUUCCAUUUCAUCAACAGGGUAUAUUUUCACAAAUUCCUCAAGAAAACUUCAUAUGAACUCCUCACUGACAAGAAACCCAAUGUAAGUUAUUUCAAAGUCUUCGGUGCAGAAUGCUGGAUUAGAGAUCCUCACCAUAGCUCAAAGUUUGCACCUAAAGCACAUGAGGGUUUUAUGCUCGGUUAUGGAAAAGACUCGCACACCUACAGAGUCUUCAACAACUAUCACAACAAGGUUGUUGAAACUGUCGAUGUGCGGUUCGAUGAAACUAAUGGCUGCAAAGAGAGUAAUUGCCUCCUGAUCCAGAUAAGUUAUCUCAUGAGGAAGCAAUCAAGCUCAAAGCUACUGAAGACAUUGUUCCUACUGAGGAAAUUGCUGAAGAAAUCACUCCCAACACUGAUGAAAAUCAAGAAGAUGCUCCUGAGGAUAUUGCUUCAGAACAAAUUCCUCAACCCAGACGAAAUCCUCAACCAGCUCAUUCGAGGAUUGCAAAUAAAGUAGACCUUGAAAAAAAUCCUCGAUGACAUCAACGCGCCAGGUCCUCUCACUCGCUCAAAAGCUUCACACUUAGUUAACUUUUGUGGGCAUUCUUCUUUUGUGUCUAUCACAGAACCUUCAAAAGUUGUUGAGGCUUUUAUGGAACCUGAGUGGAUUCAAGCCAUGCAAGAUGAUCUUCUUCAAUUCAAGCUAAAUGGCAUGUGGGAGCUCGUCAAACGACCAGAUCCUCGCAAGCACAAUAUCAUCGGCACCAAGUGGAUUUUCCGAAACAAGCAAGAUGAGGAUGGUCAAGUGGUGAGGAAUAAGGCACGACUUGUAGCCCAAGGCUACACACAGGUUGAAGGAAUUGAUUUCGAUUAAACUUUUCCACCUGUUGCUAGACUUGAAGAUAUUCAAAUACUACUUGCUUAUGCUAAUCAUCAUAACAUUACCUUAUAUCAAAUGGAUGUGAAAAGUGCAUUCCUCAAUGGUAAGCUUGAGGAAGAAGUAUAUGUUGCUCAGCCCCCAGGUUUUGAGGAUCCGAAGAAUCCGGACAAAGUCUUUAGACUGAAAAAGGUACUAUAUGGCCUCAAGCAAGCCCCUCGGGCGUGGUAUGAUACAUUGAAGGAAUUCCUCAUGAAGAAAGGCUUCAAACCUGGUUCACUCGAUCCAACUCUUUUCACAAAAUCCUAUGACAAUGAACUAUUUGUGUGCCAAAUAUAUGUCGAUGACAUCAUAUUUGGCUAUACUGACAAACGUUACAGUGAUGAAUUUUCUUACAUGAUGAGUGAAGGAUAUCAGAUGUCUAUGAUGGGGGAGCUAAAAUUCUUCUUAUGUCUUCAAAUUCGUCAACAACACAAUGUCAUCUUCAUAUCACAGGAGAAAUACCUCAAGGAUGUUCUGAGGAAAUUCGACAUGCAUGAAUGCAAAGGCGCCAAGACUCCCAUGCUUAGCAACGGCCACCUCUGCACUGAUAAAAAUGGUAAAAUAUUUGAUCAGCAGGUAUAUCGCUCAAUGAUUAGCUCUUUACCGUAUUUGUGUGCAUCUAGGCCAGAUAUAAUGCUUAGUGUUUGCAUGUGUGCUCGUUUUCAAGAAAAACCGAAGGAAUCACACCAUAAGGCUGUGAAACAUAUUCUUCGAUACUUAGCUCACACACCAACAAUCGGAUUAUGGUACCCCAAGGGCUCAAAUCUUCAUCUUGUGGGAUAUUCUGAUUCGGACUAUGCUGGUGACCAUGUGGAUCGCAGGUCAACUUCUGGCACUUGUCAUUUCCUCGGAAGAUCAUUAGUCUGCUGGUCCUGAAAGAAGCAGAACUGCAUUUCUCUCUCCACUGCCGAAGUUGAGUACAUUGCUGCUGGAUCAUGCCGUGCUCAAUUGCUAUGGAUGAAGCAAACCCUCAAGGACUACGACAUCAACAUGAAGAAUCUGCCUCUCUACUACGACAAUGGGAGUGCAAUCAAGAUUGCAUACAACCCAGUACAACACUCGAAGACUAAGCACAUCCAGAUUUGUCAUCAAUUUCUUUGGGACCAUGUCCUCAAGGGCAAUAUCAUCAUCGACCAUGUGAAGACUGACAAUCAACUAGCUGAUAUCUGCACUAAGCCCUUGGAUGAGAAAAGGUUUUGCAAGUUGCUGUGUGAGCUAAAUAUCUUAGAAUCUUCAAAUAUUUUGUAAAAACAUGCACACAUCCUAACACUUAUGCAAAAUUGAUGACUUAGAUGUGCAACACACGAAGAAUCGAUUUUCUUCAGUCAAUGAAGAAUAUCACUCUUAGUGUGAGGAAAUCAAUGAAGAAUCUGGUUCUCAGGGCCCUACGACAAUUGUACGCCGUGCUUGAAAUCAUCAUUCUUAUACGGUGGGUCACGCCACCACCCAACUUUGAAAUUCUUCAAGCUGUUUUUCUUCAAAGUUCAAAUUCAUCAACCUAACGCUUUGUCACAAAAUCCUCAAGUUUUUCAAAAUCCUCAAAAUACAUGAUGAUUUUCAUUUGCCUAUAUAUAUANUAUAUAGACUAUGAUUUCAAAGUCCUCGAUAACAUUCACUUAUAGCUAUUUCCUCAAUUUGAUAUUUCAUCUAAGUGAAUGUGAUCGGACCCUACUCCCCUCUAUGCUAUACUCACCCAAUCUAUUCAAUUCUUCAUAUGCGUUCUACUUGAAACUUUGUUCAAAAUCCUCACUGCGUCCUUGUCAGCUGAGGAUUUUGCAACGAAAUCCUAAAAUCGUCAAAAAUGAUUUUUAUAUUGUUACACAGUAACUGAACCCCACUUCCCAUGAUCAGAUAAGCACGAUCUCCACCGCUUUCAUCUAUGGCUACACGUGUCAUGCGCAGACGAAUGGGCAAGGGCAGUUCGGUCCGAAAGUUUUGGCCAGACCGUUUUCACCUGAGCUAUAAAUACGUCCUUACUCCUUCUGUCUAAACUCUUCAUUCUCUCAUCCUUCUCUCCUCCUCAAGCAAAAACCUAGCGCCACCGCUAGCAAUCUCGUCGCUGGCGGGGAACAACUUCACUGCCUCGACCUCUCCGUCCUCAAACUCACGCCAGAAGCGGAACAUCUACAUCCACCGCCGCCGUAGCCGUCCUCUACCGCCAAGUUAGGGCGCAUCGGACUCAAACCGAAGAGCAUCCUACUAUUACUGCCUCUGUUCUUCGUGCUCUCCAUAUAGGCUAAUUAAAAUCCUAUUUUACUGUCCAUUUCGAUCUACUAUUUUACAUUAGAUUCGAGAAAUCUGUUUUUCCUCAGUGUCUAUUAGCUUCGCACAAUCUAUUCCUCAAACACUUGAUGAAUUUCACUAAGCCACUAAAAUUCUUCACGUGAUUCCUCAGUUGUGCAAAUUUUCGAAUCUGCCCAACUCUGGAACCCAAGAUCAGAGUGCUUAGAUAAAUUCCUCAACCCACUGGUCAAAUCCCUCAACUUUAAAAUUUCAAUUUCUUCAAAUCUGAGAACGCAUAUGACGUCUCCAAAUUCCUCGCACCUAUACUCUCUUGACAGGUACAAAAUGUUAACUGAUGAAGCUCUAGGUUCUCAUCAACUUAACUCAUUUGUAGCAUUCCUCGAAGAAACUUUGCCAGUGUCAUCAAAAUCUUCAAUAGUGCAAAUUCCUCAACAAAAGCAUUAGUUGAAGAAAAUGGAGGAUGACAGAAAGCAAAAGGGUGCAAAGAAACUUGAACAGAACACUGCAAUUGAUAUCCCGAGGAUAUAUAUCUUGAUUACUGUAUGCCAGAUGAGCAAGAACCUAUGCCGAAGCACAAAAUUAGGCUUCAAAAAAUAGAACGCAAGUGGACUAAGGAGUGGAAGGAAUAUCGCUUCGUCACUCCAAAGUAUGCAAAGAAAUUCGCCCUCAAGCCACCUUGCAAAAGGCCUCCUCUUGGUGAUCAUCAGGUUGCACAUCCCCCAAGCAUCAAAACUGUAGAGGAUUACCCUGAGGAGAAAGACAAACACUUGUCUAAGCUACAGAAGAAAGCAGAAGCUGCAAUGAGGAAACUCAAUGAGGAAUCUGCUGCUGCCACUGCAGCCACCUCUUCUGCUCCUGAAGCUUCUGGUACAACUAUUCCUCAAGUGAAGUUUGUGCCACAGAAACCAAAGCCUUCAAAGCCUAAAUAGCAAUUGCCUUAGAAGGCUCACCUGCACCAAAACACUCAACAGCUACACAUGCCUCAAAGCCUGAACACAAGUAGAUUGUCAAGCAAACGCCUGCUCACUCGAGCUCCUUUGUACCAUCUGCCAUGAGCUCUGAGACAAAGUAUUCACCUACACCUUUGAAGACUAAAAUGACUGCUGGAAGGGGCAUCAGGCCCAGCCCAAGCAAAGUCAUCAACGUCCCUUCUGCAUCAGAAGGAAGUGAUGAAUUUGAUGAUGAAACUCUUCAAGCCAUCAUCAGAAACAAGCAGGAACGAGUUGCACAAGCUUCAGGCAGCGCUAUUCCUCUUGCCAUGGAUCCAAAGGUUCUGCUAGACUACAUCAAUGUCUGGUAUAAAGAUCCAAACACCCCAUUGAUGAUUUAAAGCUUCCCACAGGUAUCAGCCAUAUGGUGGCCACAUUCAUCAAUAAGGCCAAAUGGAAAGAGAAGCAAGCCAAGCAAGCAAAGGCUGCAAAACUGAAGAAGGAGAAAUUCCUCACGCAGAAUCUCCUCAACUGACGCCUGAAGAUCUUGUGUCCACCCAGGUUGAACUAAAGACUUUGACCGACAAGUACACGAAACUAUCUGAUCGUCAAAGUCUCAAGUCAAAUUUCAUCAAGUUUGCAACCAACGCAGUUGAUGAAUAUAACAAGAAGGCUGCUCCUCCAGCAAAACCAAAGCAGCCUGAGCCCAGCUAUUCUGUUCAGCUGACUGAGGAAGAUGAUGAAGAAGAACCUCCUGCUGAGGAAAUGCCUCAAGAUAGUCGAGCCGAUGAACCUGUAAUUGAUGAAAUACCUCAAGACACUCGAGCUGAUGAAUCUGCUCCAACUGAAGAAAAUGCUUCAGCUAAGUAAACUGCGAGGACGAUAUAGCACCAGCUCGUGAAGAGAAAAUUCCUUCACCUCAAUCCUCAAAGGUGAAGAAGAUGGUUCCGUCUGCAUCAGACGUGAAGAAAACCAAGGCUGCUGACAAAGAAGCGAAGAAAAGAAAAGCUUCCUCGACUCCAGAAUCAUCAAAGGCCAAGCGGUUCAAGACACUUGAUGAAACUGCUCCACUGGAUGUUGUGCCUCUGAAGGUAGCUCCAUCAUAUACAUUGAUUCCCUUCGGAAUUGACUAUGUCAUUCCUGAGGAAGAUGAGGGAAUUCUGAUGGAUGAGGAAAUGAAAGAUGCUGAUUCUGAAGAAACCAUGGACGAGGGAAUUCAAAUUGAUGAUAUUCCUCAGUCCUUCAUUCCUCACAAGACAUCUGAUGAACAUGCUCAAGGAUCAGCUGCAACAGCUGAAUAUUUUGCCUCCUCCACCAAGAAAAUUCCUCAAGCUGAGGAAAAUCCUCAACCCGAGGAAAAUCCUCAACCAGAGGAAAACCCUCAACCUGAGGAUGAGGCUGAAGAAAAUGCUCCUGCACCCAAUACUGAAACUCCAAUUGUCGUGGUCAACUCUGAAACAACAAUGAUAGUAUCUGCUCAAGAAAAGAAGCAUAAUCUUCAACCAAUGCAAAAUUAGCCUUUUUCAAAGAGGCCAAAGUUUUAGAAGGAAGAGUUCUAUGAAGAACGGAUGUAUUUCAUCAGCGACAAUCCAUAUGACAAGCUACGCAUGAGGGACAUGAAGUUUUGGACAAGGACUGAGCUAAACUACUAUGCCUCUGUGCUUUAUGGGAGAAACAAAAUAUUUCAGCACACCAUAUUCCUCAUGUUGAGAUGGAAGAAAUUCAUUGCUUCGCCCCAGUCCUCGCUGUUCUUCAUGAAGCCGGACUACUGCCACUCUGCACUGACAUCAGUGAUUGGAACAAUGGUAUAGUUCUUCAGUUUUAUGCUACUUUGCACAUCUCUGGAGACCCGAAGGAUAUCAGCACUUGGGUGCUGGACUGGAUGACUCAGCACACUCAUUAGAAAGCACCUGCCACUGAGCUGCUGUGAGUGCUUCUAGUUUCAAUUCCCUCAGAACAAGCUGUGCUAAUGUAGGAUGAACGGGACUUGCCCAACAAGCUGAUGGAAGUCCUCAUGAAGACUUUGGCCAAGGAUCAACCUCCAAGAACAACCUUUCUGGUUCAAGACUUGAAGUAUGAACCAAGGACUAUCUACAGGAUCCUGUGAAGUGUCAUCGCUCCAAUCAAAGGCCAUGAUGAUGAAGAAGAUGUCGUAGGCAUCAUAAAGAAUAUCCUCUUCAACAUCAUCCAUGGAAUACCAAUAAACCUUCACGACUUCUUCCUGAGGAAUCUGGCUAGCAAUGCUAUGUCACCCUUCGACUUCAAGAUUUACGCUCCAUGGAUCAUGAGAUUCAUCAGACGUAGGUCAGACAUCAACUAUCAUGCUGAUUUCAACAAUCACAUUGGAUAUCUGCCUCCUAUCAGAGUUAACAAGAAGACUUUUUAGCCUGUUGAAGGAAAAGGAAAAUUUGUCAUCAAUAAAGGAAGUCGGCCCCUUGAUGGCCAGUUUCGCGAACCAGAAGCAUAUUCUUCAUGGGAUGACACUGAAACUCACGAGCCGCCUAGCCCUGUUGCCCCAAGGAUAAUGACUAACAGAGAACUACUCCUCAGUCUUCAUCAGAAGGUUGAUCGCAAUCACAAAUGGGUCAAACGUCAAUUUAGUGCCAUUGUGAAAACCCUCAACGAGACUGAGAAUGCAGUGAAGAAAAGUCACUACUAUCUUCAUGAGGUUUUUGAUCGUACCUGGGCCACUCAGGCUCAUCUGUAGACUCAAGAAGAACUUGAUGAAUUGGAGUUUACUCAGGACAUCGACUGGUCGUGGCCUCCCAAGAAGAAAUUCAGGCCAAUUCCAGUACCAGAACUUGAGCACAGUUCGUUUUCUUCAUUCCGCAUUGCAAAAUCUGAUGAAGAACCAUAAGACACUGCCACUGACCCAAGGAAGAAUCCCGUCGCCAAGAAUCCUCACGCAUCUUCUUCAUCAGCCAAGAAGUGGAAGUCUUCAUGGGGCGUUAGUCCUCAGUUUUGACCCUUUUCGUCACUUGAUGACAAAAGGGGGAGAAAUCUGAGUUAGUCUUCACGCGGGAUAUAUUUUGGGGCUUAUAGACAUUAUUAAGUUGCAAACUCUUGGUUCUUCUGAAGUAUUUUAUGUAAUGAGUUGUAACUUAAGCACGAUGGUGCUCUGACUCUUUUGAACGUUUUUCUUCACAUGCUUAUUCCUUAAAGUCUAUUAAUGCACGCAUGCUGAAAUUCGUCAGAUACAUUUCUCAUCAUGCAUUCUCAAAUUCAUCAUAUUAUAUGUCAUAUGUAUGCAUGAUUCACAAGAUACGGGGGGAGAUCUCCGUGAUAUAAAUCAUCAAUGUGCAUUUGCUGUGAAAAGCAAAAUCCUAAAAAUAUGCACAUCUUGAGGGGGAGUCUCUGAGUAUCUUCAUUUCAAAUAUCUCAAAGUGAGUAUUUACAAUUCAUAUUUUUAUCCUCGUUGAAGACUUAAUCUAAUUGUCAUCAACCACCAAAAAGGGGGAGAUUGUAAGUGCAUCUAGUUCCCUUAGUGAUUUGGGUGGUUUGAAGACUUAUAUGUUAUGUAUCUAAUGUGUUCAUCAGUGUACGCAAGAUCUAUAAGUCGCUCAGGAGUUUGAAAUAUACGAUGAAUAUCGACCCCUAAAAAUGUAUAUCUUCGGCUGAAGAAAUUNNNNNNNNNNNNNNNNNNNNNNNNNNNNNNNNNNNNNNNNNNNNNNNNNNNNNNNNNNNNNNNNNNNNNNNNNNNNNNNNNNNNNNNNNNNNNNNNNNNNNNNNNNNNUUCGGCUGAAGAAAUUGGUCUUCUGCUGAAGACUUUGAUCGCGAAGAAAUUGCGAUGAAAUUGAUAUUCCUCAUGAAGAUAUUGAAGAUGCGGAAUUCGGUUUGUCGUGAAGAAAAAUGAUCCGAAGACUUUGAAGCGUGAAGAUUUAUUCUUUCUGUUUCAUUUUCUUCACUCUUGAGUCAUAGGAACACCAUACUUUUAAAGGGGGUCGGGUUAACACUACGGAAUGAAUUUCCUCAUGAUGCUCAACCCAAGCCUAAUCCUACAAAAGCCUCAAGUGAGAAAUAUGAGAGACAUGAGGACUCUCAGAGUUGAGGAUCCUGACCGUUGCCGCAAUUCGCGCCACAUCAUCGAUCUUAUCCACACCAACGGUCAUAAUAUUUAAGGGCAUUAAUGUCAAAUCAUGUCGGGAUGCUCCCAGGCUAUAAAUAGCCAACCCCCACAACCAUUAGUUGGUUGGCUGCUUCGUAAGAAACUGACACUUGUCAUUUAGAGCAAUCCAAAUUCCUCAGAGUUUUCGAGAGUAAAUCAUCAGUGAGGAAAUACCCCAAACACCAAACCACAAACCAAAAACCAAGUGAUUAAGCAUCACUAAAGAAUUUGUUCCUGUAUGGAACUGAAGCCUUUUACCUUUAAGGAAUGUGCAUCCUCCAGAUAGUUAGGCCUCAUGGUCUAGAGAAAUCCAGCAGUGAAUUGUGGAUCGCCGGGUGACCAAGUUUGUGAGGGUUUGGAAGUCUGCCCUGAAGACUUACACGACUGUUGGGCGAGGACUGUGUGUCCUUAGCUCAAGGAGAAUAUGGUAGGGACAGUGUGUCCCGGGACUGUGUGUAUUUUCGUUUCAAUACCAAACCGCUCAAAACCAGAUGUACAACUGUCACAGUAGUUGGAACUGGGUCAUCAACCACUGUCUUCACUGUGAUACAGGUUCUAUUUCUUCAACUCUUUCAAUUCCUCAAUAUUGUAUGUUGAAGAUUUUCAUUAUCACUGUUUGAAGAAUUUGUUGAAGACUUUCUCUGAAUUUCCUCAACCUCAAAUUAUUCACGUGAGUUAAUCCUCACCUCCUUACUCUGUGCCUGCGUACUGUGCAAACUGUUUUUCAUAUUCCUCAUCUUGAAAACUGCUGUAGUGAUACUUUGCACCCCUGAUCCUUUGAUGUUUCCGCUUCAAGUUAUUCAUAAGUGAGGAAUUUCCUCAAAAGUAAUUUCCUCAACGAUGAAAUUUUAAAAAUAUCCUAUUCACCCCCCUCUAGUCGAUAUAACGCACUUUUAAAUUGACAAAUCAACUGUCACGACCAAUAAAUGUUCUUCGACUUCCCUUGUGUCGAAUCAGUAAAUUCGUGUGAAAUACUACGUGUGAAGGCUCUCGCGAUCCCCUAUACUUGUGGGUUAUCAAGGCACUAGCCUCAAGAACAAACAUUCUUCUGAGACACCAAACUAGCCCGAACACGAUUAAUGGCUAAAUGAGCUUCCUUGAAGGUGUCAUCCAAGGAUGCUCCGAUAUCUCUAUCGCCACAUCCGCUCAAGGUCAAUGUGAGUCGGUGUGCUUGCCUAGCCCGGGAGGUAAACGAGGGCGGAAAAAGUUCCCAAGGGGAUUUUAUGGCUCUGCCAGUGGAGACCACACCCCGAGGGAUUCUUGGCAUGCUUCCAAAGCAGACAUGCUUCAUCAAGAGCGGAGGGUCUACGCCGGGCCCUAGGGCCUCUAAUGGACCCAAAAUUUGGACGGUUCGGCAAAUCGCAUUGCCGGCGACGUACCAAGACUAGCGUCCAUGGGAAGUACCUCUUCCGUCAGGCCUAGCCUUCCAUUUGACCCAGUUCCCUAUGGCAUUGUCGGCUUCCUGGCCUCUGCUUCUAGGGAUUGAACCAAAGUCUGGGGGAUGCAUGGUAAGAGGAAGUGCGGCGGAGGGGGAGUGCAAAAUAACGUUGGGGCCUCAAGGCCAGGCAUGCACCCGCUUGCGCCCAUGCUCGGAAAGGAAGAAGGGCACACAUCUGUCACUUGGAUCUCCCAUGCCACGGGAAGAAAAGAAGCUGCAUUAAAUCACAGUCGACCAACAAUGGUUAUAAAGAAAGGAAGGGAGUGGUCCUUACCUGCUCUCGACAAUGGGUGUCAAAGGGCGCCCCCGUUUCAGAUGAUUCUGGGCCUCCAUGUUUCCCGCGGGGGCGCCCCCCUUCUCCUCCUCCUGGCCAUUGGCACUUCAAUCAAUAUGGUCAGAGCUUACGGAGAACUUUGGGCACUGCCAUCGUCCUCGUCAUUGUCUCUCACCUCUAUGAUUCCGCCAAGGCCAAGCUGUGAUGAUCUCGGUGUAUCCGUGAAGAUGUUUUGGCAUCCGACGUCUCAAGUGCCUUUGUGCAAGACCCCCAUCAAUCACACUUUGAUAGUCCGACCAGAUGACCUAGCACGCUCCAUCCACAUGAAGCAUCAAGACAGAAAUAGGAAUACUCAGAGCGCUCUCGACACGAAAUAGAAUCUCCAUUAUCCAUUUAAGCUUCUUGUCUUCAAUAACAGACAAGUGAAGACAUCACGGGUCCAGAGGUCCUAGGUACAACCACAAGGGGAGAUUUAGAUCCACCAAGGGAGAUACCCUCAUCCAGUAAAAGUUAAGAAUUACCAUAAGCCUGUCAAGUUUGAUACGACUGAUAACUGGAGCAGAAGCCUCUCCGGAAGGAUGGCUCGCCCACCCGUUGCACUCCACCAUCGGAGUGGUCGCCACACAUAGCCAGGCGGACUCCUACCGGUCAACAACAAACAUCCAAAUAUGACAUCACUCGUAUGACUAAUCGUGAAGAUGCAGUGGAAUGAAAUCAGUCUCGGCCUUUUGUCUCAUGAGGUGGAAAGACACAGAUCCAGAGGUUUGAUUGUGACGAUUUCGGUAGAUGGAAAAGAAAUGUUGAAAGAGUUCCACAAACGGCCUCACACCUACAAACCCCUCACACAGAUGGUCGAACAUUGACAAAACCAGCGCAACAAUGCGAUGGAGAUGGAGUAGGUUGAGGUGAAAAUGUUUCAAUACCGCCAUAAAGGAGUUUGAAAAAGGAGGGACCAAACCGAUGACGAGAAACUUGAGGAAAGCCGGAGUCAUGGUGCUGCUUUCUACCACGUCGUUCACGGAGUGGAGUUCAGUCCAACCUCACAAGUGAUUCACGCCUCCAACCAAGAAAGCGACCUUCUGCAUGCUUCACGCAUCGAGGAAGGCAUACUUGGCCACAAUAGAUACAGGUUCCUCCGGAACUGCCUGCUUACCCCUCAUUUCUUUUUCUGCCCCCAAAGAAAAGUCGCGGGAUGCCAUGGGUCAAGGCGAAAAGCGUAGUGGGAGGUGGUGGUCAACAAAGGAAAGAGAAACUGAGAAGAAGGACCAGGCGUGGCCCGGGUGGUUCUUUCCGUUUAUCAACGAAACAAGCAAGGGAUCGAUUGUUUGCCCAAGCACACGGUCACCUAGUUUUUGGNNAGCAGGAAUUAAGAGUGGCGCAGAAGCCUAGGCGUGGUCCGUUCCUCGUAAGACCACUCGAUUGACUCAUGCUUUUGUUGAAGAACAAAGUUCGUUUUUACAAGUCUUUGGAGCGCGUUUUAGGCUACCAAAUGUCGCGUCCUUGGGUUCUUAGGUGUGGGGACCCCGANNNNNNNNNNNNNNNNNNNNNNNNNNNNNNNNNNNNNNNNNNNNNNNNNNNNNNNNNNNNNNNNNNNNNNNNNNNNNNNNNNNNNNNNNNNNNNNNNNNNNNNNNNNNNUGUGGGGACCCCGACUCAUAGGUCAUGAUCACCGAAUGUAUGUGUACAGUGAUCUCAGAGAUCAAUGCUCAUUGAACACACAUAAGCUGAAUAACAAGAGUCUUACAUCCAUACAUACCGUCUGAUCCUAAAAAAGAUCAUUAAGGCCAACUCUAACAUAGAUAGGGCCUCGAAAGCAGACACACCAAACAUAACUAGCAACAUAAAUCUUGAACGAAAGCGUGAACCCAUGCCAUCUACCUUCACCUACAGGCAUUCUGACUGGGAAGCAUCCUAGUUCGCAUGUUCGUCACCGACAAACUCCUCUUCAAAUUUAUGCUCUUCCAUGUCUGACCAAUUAAAUAACUAGUGGCAAGCCAGUGAGUACUUUGAAUGUACUUGCAAGCAACCCAUGAUGUGGAACAAGGCAACAAUGAAGCAUGAUAUAGCACUAACAAGUAUUUAGCGGAAAGCAGAUUUUCCCCUGGUGUAAUGACAUGAUCAACUAAUCAUGAGGGAAUGCAUCAUAAGGUAAGUUAUAUACGUGGGAACAGGUUUCAUAUAUCAAUAUGAACUAAGGGCUGAACAACCCGUGUUCACCCAUCGUGCCAAGUCAUGUGACUAAGCUUAGGUAUCAUUUUUCUCAUAUAGCACCUUUCUCACACAUGCACACUAUUUGGUAAACAUGGAUGUAGCCCAAUAGUGGUCAUCCAAUUGUCCAUGACCAUGGACACGACUAUCCGAAUAGAUUUACACUCUGCACAGGUUGCACACUUUACCCACUAGACUCAGGAAACUUCCGUGUCAAGGCACGACUCGCGGUGUUUCUCGCACCCGAGGUAAGUACCCGAACAUCACUUUUCCUAUGACGAUGCUAGCAAAAAGACCACACGUUGGAGACAACUCCUCGUGAUGUACAUCACACGUAUCAUCCACAAAGGCACGCAAUGGUGUGCCCGAUGUUUCUGAAAAAAGCCAAUGGUCGCCCUUUUUCUUGGCAUGACCCCGUCUUGAGAGUGACCACGUCACUCCAGCCACUAGUAAUGCGGGCUCUAUACUAGCACCAACCAUAGUAAUCAGCAAAGCCCCGUCCCAUCGGGGGUAUCAUGGUUGUGCAUGUAAGGUUGGAAUUACGGUCGCAACUUUAACGAAUCCGAUUUCGAAAACCACACACACUCACUAGCCUCGGUAUACCACUUGUUUCUCAAGUUGAUACCUAGCUCACACCAUCUCCCUCGGGCAUUAGUGGCACCCGGCGUUUUUUAAAACAUUCGAAAUCACCUUCUCUUACCAUCACCAUGCAUGUACCCAGUCCCAUGUGUAGAACUACUAGCAAUCUAACUACAUCCCACUUGCACAACCAUCAUAGGUUGGUAGGGUUAUGCCCAAGUGUAAGUGUUAACGAGGAUCUAUCGGGAACAUCCCACCGACGUAGUUACCGAUUCAACAUGAUCUUAUGCAUCAGAAUGAAAUGCUAAAUAUGACAUGCAUGGAAGUAUUCUCUUAGACAUGGUAAAGGGGCUACUUGCAUUGCUCAACAAAGUCUCCGGGAUCUUCAGAGUCUUCUAGUACAAGUCCCUCGUCAGCAACACCAUCUAUCGUCGCAAUAUCAACAAGCAAAAAUAAGCACUCAACCAAAAAUAGCGAAAAUAUUAUACUCAGAAAAAUGUCACACUAUUUUUGUAAAAUACUAGGGUGAGUAUAGGUACUAUAAAUUUGUUGUGUUUUAUUUUUGGUCUGUAAAAAGUUGUAAAAACUAUAUUAACAGAGUGUUAAAACGCCCUAAACUAGGCAUUAAAAUAAAAUAGUGCAUGCAACCUAUAGUAAAAAUUACACAAGUGGCACCCUAAAAUACUACAGAAUAUUACAAGAUUUUCGGUGGAAGAAUAUUUGAAUUUGGACAAAUAUUUAAACUUAGGAAAUUUUUGAAAGAUACUGGAAAAGGAAUAAAAGGAAGGGCUACUAUUCCCCAUGGGGAAAACCGGCUCGGUAGAGCCAGCCCAAAUGGAAACCAGCCCGCGCCAGACAGCCACGUCAAAGGCGCAAGGAUGCUUUACGCCUUCAGCCGACACGGCGCACGCGCGGCCUGCGCAUUCAAACCUGACUCCUCGGCCCCAACUAUCAGCGAAAGAGGGAGGGGAGAAGAGAACGACAGGUGGGCCCCACCCGAGUCAUCUUCAACCUGCCGAAUGAGAGAGGGAUAGCUCACCGACAACAAGAUGGGGCACGGAUGGCUCGACGAUGAUGGAAAUGAGACCAACGUCGUUCCGCCGUUCGGUUGGUUGUGGAGGUAGGAACUGAGGAGCAGCGAGUCACCGACGGUGAGGUCCUGUGGUGGAGGCGCUUUGGGAGGGUGGUCACUAGGGCCGAUUCAUGUAGAAAAAGAACAAAGGAAAGGAGAAGCAUCAGGACACUAUCGCGGUUCCAGCGCAGAAGAAAGGAGGGCUGGAGCGGCCUUGUACCCGAGGAUUGCCGGAGUCCCGAUGCAGCAACUCUUGAGCUCGAUCUCGAACUCGGGAGCGUCUCACGAGGAGUGGGUAGUCUAUGAGCUCGAUUAGGAGCACCAGGGGGUCGAAGGGAGGGAGAAGGAGGACCGGGGUGGCCAUUUAUAGCAGCGGCACGGUCCACCGGGAGCUUGUGCGCCGGUGAGACCAUGGGGAUUACCUGGGGGAGAGAGGGGACUUGGGGACGCGUCUGUGGUCUUCGUGUACGCGAUAUGGGGCCAGGAAGAGGGCGAUGAGUAGCGGGGGAAGGGUCCUGGCUUGUCAUGACGGCGGGUGCUUACUGACCGAAUCGGGCGGCUGCUCGCACGCGUUGCAGGGGGGAAGAGAGGGAGAGAGAGGAGAGGGCCAACAAGGCGCAUGGCAUCGGUCGUCGACGACACCUUGAGAGACAGCCGGAGGGGCACGAGACGGUCGGGGUUGGCCACCCCUCGGUGCAGAAGCACACUAUAGCACGUCCAAAGCAUAGUUUUCGCAUGCCACGACAUGUUAGUGCACUCUGGCACGCCCCAUCUUGUCCACUAGCUCCUGGGGGUAGUGGAUAUGCUCCUUGGAUGCUCUCGAGCUGAGGAGAGAGGUAGUGGUCAAAGAGAGGGUGGGAGAAAGCUUCUGCCAGGGUUAAUCAGAGGGUUAAUUGGGGUUUUUACCCACUCCUACCGUUGAACGAGAUAUGGAUCUUUUUACUACAUGUGAAAGGUAACAAUGUGGGUGUGUGGUACGAAUUUGGAGUGAAGAGGAGUGGUAGAAGGGGUGAAAGAAGCAGUUUUACAAAUCACUAGAAGGUGUUUGAUGAUGGUUUGAGCAAGAUAAAACUCACCAUAUGCAGUGAGAUUUAACAGGAUCAUUUGAUGGGUAAAAUCACUAGGAUUCACCAAGUUUUAUCUCAUUUGAGCAAAGUUGACAAUGUAAACAUGGAAAACCCUACAAAUGGACAAAAUCAGAUUUCUGUAGAGCUAGGUGAUCAAAUCAACUCCCACAAAUGCUCAACUUGGUGUAGCAUCCUUACUUGGGGGAUGGAUCAACAUCUAAAGUUUGGGAUCAAUUGGACAAACAUGGCAAUGUAAAGUUGCUCAAAUUUGGUGGUGGACAGAAAUGGUUUUGGGAUUACUGGGUGGAUCAAAUCAACUUGGAUUGAGCUGAAACUUUGUAGGAUCACCACAUUUAUCAUGUGUGAUUUGCUAAGAUUUUACUGGAAUUUAUUGAGAAAAUUUCCUAUGGAAAUAUUUCAAAAGCGAGAAAUAGGCAGAAAGGGUUUUCAGGGGUUUUGUCCAAUAUUUUGAACAUGACCAUAUGUUGAAACUCUUAUGUAUGGAAGAUAUAUGACCACUAAGUUUCCCUAAAUUUUCUCAAUUAUUUUUGAAGUGAUAAACUAAUUUUUACUUAUGAAAUACCGUUUCUGGCACCAUAAAUAUGUGUUUAAAUUAAAUAGCAAAAUAACUUCUAAAAUAAUUAUUUUAUGGUUUUGGGAAACCUUUUUGAUAAUAGGUUCCAAAUAAAAACUUUGGGGCAAGUCAUCUCUCCUAAAUUGGGGACUUGAAGUGAAAAUCUCAAAUUAGGAGUUUUGUAAAACUUAAAAUAAAUAAAUGCCUUUUAUUAAAAUAAUACUUUAUAAAAAUGGUUUUCUGGUUAUAUGCACAUGGCAAGAUCAUUGCGCAAGGGUUUGCGGUCAAGGAGGUGGGUGAGUUUUAGAGAGGAGAACAACUAUAUAUUUAUUUUGCCGUCCGUGGUUCCCCCCUUUGCAAAGCCUUUUCCGUCCGUGGUUCCCCCCUUUGCCGUCUGCCAUGGCAGACGGCAAAUUUCUAAAUUUCAGUAGUGAUAGUGAUUCAAAACUCAAUCAGUCACACAAGAAAGUUGCAACAAAAUCAAGCAUCACAAACAUGCAAAAGUUUUAAUUGACUAUAUAUUUUAUAAAAACGUCAUGUGGCAAAAGUGGUACAAGUAGAGGGUGUGACAAACCUACCCCCUUACAAGAAUCUCAUCCUCGUGAUUCCUAGGCUAGGCAUUAAAAAGAGAAGGAAACUCUGAUUUGAGGUAGUCUUCACGCUCCCAUGUUGCUUCUGCUUCAGUGUGGUUGCUCCAAAGGACCUUUAACUACUUGAUGGUGCGGCUUCUGGUGCAACGCUUGGCUUCAUCCAGGAUGCGGAUUGGUAUCUCAUGAUAAGUGAGGUCUGGCUAAGGAUUUAUGGCUUGAUGAUCGGUAUCCUUGUAGAGCUCAUGGCGAUUGGGAACUUGCACGCACAUCCGGAGUUGCGACACGUGGAAAAUGUUGUGCACAUCUGAAUGUUCAGAUGGUAGCUACAGCUGGUAGUCAACUUCUCCUCGUCUUGCGGUGAUCUUGAAGGGGCCACUUUGUCUUAGUUCAAGAUUUCCCCUUACAUGGAAGCGCUUUGUUCCCUUGAGAGGUGUGACUCAAAGAUAGACAUAGUCCCAAACACGGAAACUCAUGUCUCGGUGACAGAAGUCGGUGUAGCUCUUCUGUCUUGACAUUGCGGCUUAUAGACGUUCUAUAACAAAUUGAACUUGCUCCCUGCUUGAUGGUGAACAUUUGGUACAAAGACCAGCCCUUCCCUGGUCUCUGACGAGUUGAGGGGAGUGUGGCACUUGCGACCAUACAACACCUAAUGGUGACAUCUGGAGGCUCGACUGAUAGUUGUUGUUGAAGGAGAACUUGGCACACGGUUAAUAGUCUUCCCACUUGGCCCCAUAUGCCAAGACACAGACAUGGAGCUUGUCCUCGAGUAUCUGGUUUACCCGUUCUGUUUGUCCGCCUGUCCGAGGGUGAAAAGCGGCGCUGAAGGAUAGCUUGGUUCCAAAGGCCUCUUGGAAUCUGUUCCAGAACCUCGAGGUGAACUGAGUAUCUUGAUUUGACACGAUCUCCAUAGGGACUCCAUGGAGGCUUAGAAUCCGGUUGAUGUAGAGACUGGCCAACUAGUUCCCAAUGUAGGUCGUGUUUAUGGGAAUGAAGUGGGCCACAAUACAACACCCAAAUUAAAUCAUGUCCCUUGCUUGAUUUGGGGACUAGUGAUGAAGUCCAUCCCAACUUUGUCCCACUUCCAUUUAGUCACUUGGAGAGGUUGUAGCAGUCUAGCGGCUUGCUGGUGCUUAGCCUUGACCCUCUGGCACACGUCACAUUUUGCGACAUAAGAGGCUAUCUCUCUCUUCAUGCCAUGCCACCAGAAUCCUGCCUUGAGGUCUUUGUACAUCUUGGUUCCUCGAGGAUGGAUGUAAUAUGGACUAUCACGUGCUUCUUUCAAGAUCGGGUUCUUGAGUUCAGCUUUGUUGGGUACACAAAUGUGGUUCCCAAACCAUACAACUCCUUGUUCAUCCACUGAGAAUCAUCGGGCCUUGCCAUCUUUUACCUUCUUCUUGAUACCUUCGAUGCUCUCGUGUCGCUUCUAUGGUUCCUUGAUUUCGUCCAUCAAUGUAGGCUUUGCUUCGAGGUUGGCUAGAAAUCCUGGUGCGACUAAUUCCAAUCCAAAUCUUUCAAGUUCCUCAUACAAGGUAGGUAGCCUUUCAUUAAUCAUAGCAUUUAAGGCACAAGUCUUUCUGCUCAAAGCAUCUGCUAGCACAUCGGCCUUUCUGGGGUGGUAUUGAACACUCAGGUCGUAAUGUUUGAUCAACUCCAAUCAUCUUCACUCCCUCAUGUUCAAUUACUUCUAAGUGAAAAUGUACUUGAAAAUCUUAUGGUGUGUGUAUAUCUCACAUCGCUUCCCAAGAAGGUAAUGUCGCCAUUUCUUCAAGACACGAACCACUGCUGCCAGCUCAAGAUCGUGAGUGGCGUAGUUCUCUUCAUGAGGACGUAGAUGUCUGGGCAGAUAUGCCACGACUCUGCCUUCUUGCAUCAGGACACCACCAAGCUCGGUCCUUGAUCCAUCACUGUUUGAUUUCAGGCUCCGCAAAACCCUAAAGAGUCAAACUCGGGGGCGCGUGCGGAGGCCACUUGGCAGCUUUGGUUCGCCUGACUCGCUACUCGUUGGGGAUGAGAGAGAGCUCACUUGAUGGUGAGGAAGACACAAAACACAACAGUUUACCCAGGUUCGGGCCGCUGAGAAGCAUAAUACCCUACUCCUGCUUCAAUGGAUUGCCUCUCGUGGAGGUUGGUGGAUGAACUAGUACAACGCUCGAGAGCCUCCGGAGGCUUGGUGGCCUUUGUGUGGUGAAAAUGGGCGAAUGAAUCCCCCCUAUGAAGUAACCUACUCUCUAUCUAUAGUGGCGGCCCUGGUCCUCUUCCUUUAUCGUUUUCGGCGGGAAGGGAUCCCACAAUGACCUAUUUUAAAGGGUAAGGGGAACAUGCUUCCCCUGUCCAAAAGUAGUCUUCUCCUGCAAAGUGGCUGCCAAUGCAGCAGGGAUGGGUCCAGGGAUGACGUCCGUCCUCCUCACGGGCGGUGGUGGCCUUGUUGCACCAGAAUGGAAACCUUUGGGAGAUGCCUUGGAGACAUGCGUGCGUCCUCGUCCCCGUUACACUAAAGCGGGAACUGCACCAUCCUGAUGUCUGCUGCUCGCCCGUCCUUCCCCCGCGUCAUCCUCUACUCCUGAGGCCGGGUCUCGCCUCGAAAUAUCUGCUGCUCGGAAGGGGUUCCGAGGAGUCCCCCUACAGAUCUUGAUGUUGUUCCUCCUUGCGAUGCUUGGCCCCGCGCGAGGGCCUUGACUUGAGUGGUGUCGGGCCUGUUGUUUUUUGGUCGAUGAAGUCGGCCAACCUUGGGCCCAGGCAGGCAGGUAUGGGUACCCCGAUUCCCAGAACGCCGACAGUAGCCCCGGGAUCAAGGCGCGCCUUGGCUGGCUUCUUGGCGAAGCCUUGAGGGCGGUCUGAAGCGUCGCUGGCCCUAAAAGUCUAUGGACCAGGCUUCACAUGCGCCGCACAACCAAGUGGCAACACUCCCAGUUCUCGAGGCACUCGGAGACACGCGAGGUCAAACUGACAUGACGCCCGGGUGAUGCGCCAGCCAUCAUCGCUCCUUGGGGACGUCACCUCUACGCACACCACGCGGGCGCGCUUCCUCAUGAACCGCGUGGGCCCAGGAACUCCUUAGGGACGUCACCUCUAUGCACGCCACACGGGCGCGCUUCCUCAUGAACCGCNNNNNNNNNNNNNNNNNNNNNNNNNNNNNNNNNNNNNNNNNNNNNNNNNNNNNNNNNNNNNNNNNNNNNNNNNNNNNNNNNNNNNNNNNNNNNNNNNNNNNNCUUCCUCAUGAACCGCAUGGUCCCUAGAACGCGGAGGGACGCGAGUCUGCCCUCGACCAUGUAUUUGACCUGGCGAGGGCGAUAAGGUCCACAUUGCCUCCGUCUUCUUCAUCUUUCACCUCGAGCCCUCCACCCCCUCAGCAUGGUUCCAGUGAGGUAGUAUUCCGCCGCCGAGAAGGGGAAGGCUUUCGGGGAAGGUUUUGCCGCCCCACCACCCAAGAGGGGCCGCGUCCGCCUCUAGUUGCAGGCUGAGUCUGGUGUGGUGGGGCGUCCUGGGUGGAGGUCGAGGUCACCCCCAUGGCUACGUGUACCUGAAUUGCGGGUGGCAGACGUUCGGCCGCGCUCGAGGCCUGAAGGGGAGGCGCUACCUCCACUUCAAGUAAUAUUGGUAGGCGNNNNNNNNNNNNNNNNNNNNNNNNNNNNNNNNNNNNNNNNNNNNNNNNNNNNNNNNNNNNNNNNNNNNNNNNNNNNNNNNNNNNNNNNNNNNNNNNNNNNNNNNNNNNNNNNNNNNNNNNNNNNGUCAAGAUCUUUGGGGACGAGGGCGAGCAUCUAGGUUGCUGCCCGGAGGAUGUUGGCCGCGGCGAUCUUGUAGAUGAACCCUCCUUCGGUGGUGGGUGCCUUGCCUCCGGCAGCAGCGACACCCCCUCCGGAGGGAGCUCGAGCGACAGCAGUUGACGGGGAUAUAGCCCUAGAGUAGGGUCAUAGGUCUGACCAAUACGUCCUACCCAAGGGCACCUCAUUAUUAGUUUAAGGACUACAAGGGAAAUUCCUACUGGAUCGUGACAACAUCUAAUCCACUCGGUACGGAUCCACUCAGACAAGUACAUUCCAUCCACUCGGAUGACAGUCAACCACUCGGUCGUAUGACUCACUCGGUCAUGCAAAUACCAACAGUCGGCAAGACAUCUGUAGUGGGCUGGCAUUAUGGCAUCAAUGCCCCAUCUUGUAACAUAAGAGGUGAGGAGGUGGCGCACUCUAUAUAAGCCACCCCCUCCACAUAGCUAAGGGGCAACUUCUCCCCCUCGGGCUCUAGCUCUCUCUCUAUACCAUGUAACUCAUGUCCAUGACAGAUAAAAUAAAGCCUCUCCGGAGCACGAGACGUAGGGUUGUUAUCUCCACUGUGAGAGGCCCGAACUCGCUAAAACCACCGUGUCACCCAUGUGCAUCUUGAUAGAUCAUGCUCCGUUAUCUUACCCCCUUUCUAUUGUUGGAAUCGUUACCACAACAGCAGCGACAACAGUUAUGACGAGCCGCCUCGCCACCGUGCCUGGACCAUGGCAGGAGGCCCCUAAGCGCGGUGCCGCUCGUCUGCUCCUGUGGCGCCCGUGAAGGCGGAGGAGGGUAUGAACAAAGUGCCGGUGCGCGGGUGUCGGACGCAUGCGGCGGCAGCCCCCUUGGGACCUCCGUCGCUAGCUGUCUCCUCCUUACUUCUGACCUUGUAUCCAUGAAAACAAGGAAGGGCCCUUCGGGGAUGUAAUGGAUUUGCGUGACCACCCCUUUUGUUUGUACUGUUGCUUUUGGUCGAUUUGGAUACUUAGCUCGGUGUGCUUGGAGUGAACACCUUUGUUGUGAGGCAUGGUUAUGGCGUUAGAGGGGCUUGUUGCAAGGUUGGCUUCUCCUCGUUGCGGGUGAAGUGGGUCGAUGCUCUAUGUCAACAGGCCUCAGUCCCGCACAUUUCCCUGCCACCGUGGGGCAUGACCCCUUACCAAGGCAGUUCCUCAUGGGGCAGGGCCCAGACACCCAUAAUACCGACCGAAUGUGCCCGGACGGCACCAGGGUGGCCAUGUGGCUUUGCCACCGGUAAGGAUCCUAAGGCGCGAUGCUCAGGAGCCUCCUUAGACACUCAAGCGGCUCUAUAUUGACAGGUCAAAGUCCCGCACAUUUCCUUGCCGUCAUGAGGCGCGGCCCGUUACCAAGGUCGUUCCUCAUGGGGCAAGGCCCUGACACCCCUGAUACCGACCGAAUGUGCCUGGAUGGCACCAGGGUGGACAAGUGGCUUUGUGACCGAUAAGGCUCUUGAGCCGGGAGCCAGGAUGCUCGGGAGCCCCCUUAGACGUCCAAGAGGCCCUCGGGGAUUCUGCUUUCUGCUUUUGAAGGGUAUAGUUUCUGGAGAUCCCUAGUCUCCAUUCAGGAAGCUCUACGUCGAUAGGUCCCGGUUCCACACAUCUACCUGCCAUCGUGAGGCGCGACCCGUUACCAAGAUCGUUCCUCAUGGGGCAAGGCCCUGACACCCCCGAUGCCGACCGAAUGUGCUUGGACGGCACCAGGGUGGCCAAGUGGCUUGGUGACCGGUGAGGCUCCUGAGGCGCCAUGCUCAGAAGCCCCCUUAGAUGCUCAAGCUGUCCCAAGAAAAACAAUUGUUGUAAGAAAAGACCAAAUUUUGUUCCCUCUCCAGGAUGGUGCGCCGAGCCAUAAAAUGGGAUUCUUGAGCGAGUAUCAGAUGGCAUGAGUCUACCGACACGUCCGUGAGUGCCAUGUGAGGGUCUGGGUGCCAAGGCCUUGGUGAGGUGUCGGCACCGUGCCCCCAGCCCCCGCUCGCGGGGUACGAGCGGGCGAGGGGGGGGGGAGGCGAAUGCUCGACUCAGAGGAAGAGAGUGUGCUACAAAGAACGACAAGACUUCAUUUGGAAAAGCCUCGAGUUUGAUUUCAUAAGUAUCAGAAAAUCCAAGAUAGAGAAAAGCAAAUGAAAGCCGCGUCCGGUGCCUAAUAUAUUCUCCGCCUCUGUCUCCCCCCAGUGCGGAGCAUAGGGCUUCCACUAGGCGUGGGAGGGACCCCUUCGCGUCCUUGGGGGGCGCUAGGCGUAUACAGCCGCAACUCGUUAUUAGGUGAGAGUUUCACGAGGGGUGUAUCUGGGAUGUCGCGAGGACGCUUUAGCCUCGCGAGUGUCCCUACCCCCAAGGCAUAGGCGUUGAUUUCUUUUGGGUCAUUGGUAAACCCUGCUGACUUCUUCUUCUUCAGGAGUGAGGCAGACUAUCAUGGUCUUCCCCCUAGCGUGGAGCGUAGGGUUUCUACUAGGUGUGGGAGGGGCCGCUUGAUACGUCCAUUUUGCAUCAUGCUUUCAUGUUGAUAUUUAUUGCUUUAUGGGCUGUUAUAUUACUUUGUGGUACCAUAUUUAUGCCUUUUCUCUCUUAUUUUGCAAGGUUUAUUUGAAGAGGGAGAAUUCAGGCAGCUGGAAUUCUGGACUAGAAAAGGAGCAAAUCUUAGUCCACUAUUCUACACAACUCCAAAUGCCCUGAAAAUUUACUUGGAAUCUUUUGGGAUUAUAUAAAAAAAACUGCACGAAAGAAGUAUCGGAGGGGAGCUACCAGGGCGCCACAAGCCCUGCCACCGCCACCCCCCUGGUGGCGGCUAGCAAGCUUGUGGGCUCCCUGACGGCCCACUAGCCCCCUCUUUUGCUAUAUGAAGGGUUUCGUUCCAGAAAAAAUCAAUCAGGAGCUUUUUUGUGGUUUCUCCGCCGCCACGAGGCGAAACUUGAUCAGAUCCAAUCUAGAGCUCCGGUAGGACGAUCCUGCCGGGGAAACUUCCCUCCUGGAGGGGGAAAUCAUCACCAUCGUCAUCACCAAGACUCCUCUCGUCGGAGGGGAGGCAUCUUCAUCAACAUCUUCGUCAGCACCAUCUCCUCUCCAAUCCCUAGUUCAUCUCUUGUAACCAAUCUCCGUCUCACCACUCCGAUUGGUACUUGUAAGGUUACUAGUAGUGUUGGUUACUCUUUGUAGUUGAUGCUAGUUCGAUUACUUGGUGGAAGAGUUUAUGUUCAGAUCCUUGAUGCUAUUCAUUACACCUCUGAUCAUGAUUAUGAUUAUGCUUUGUGAGUAGUUACUUUUGUUCCUAAGGACAUGGGAUAAGUCAUGCUGAUAAUAGUCAUGUGAAUUUGAUAUUCGUUCGGUAUUUUGAUAUGUGGUAUGUUGUUUUUCCUCUAGUGGUGUUAUGUGAACGUUGACUACAUAACACUUCACCAUAUUUGGGCCUAGAGGAAGGCAUUGGGGACUAGUAAGUAGAUGAUGGGUUGCUGGAGUGAUAGAAGCUUAAAUCCCAGUCUAUGCGUUGCUUCGUAAGGGGCUGAUUUGGAUCCACUAGUUUAAUGCUAUGGUUAGACGUUGUCUUAAUUCUUCUUUCAUAGUUGCGGAUGCUUGCGAGAGGGGUUAAUCAUAAGUGGGAUGCUUGUCCAAGUAAGGGCAGUACCCAAGCGCCGGUCCACCCACAUAUCAAACUAUCAAAGUAUCGAACGCGAAUCAUAUGAACAUGAUCAAACUGGCAUGACAGAAAUUCCCGUGUGUCCCCGGGAGCGUUUUUCCUCCUAUAAGACUUUGUUCAUGCUUGUCCCUUGCUACAAAAGGGAUUGGGCCACUUGCUGCACCGUUGCUACUACUUGUUACUUGUUACUUUUCGCUUGCUAUGUUUCACCUCACUUCACCAUCACUUGUUACCGCUACUUUCAGUGCUUGGAGUGAUUACCUUGCUAAAAACCGUUUAACAAAGCCUUCUGCUCCUCGUUGGGUUCGACACUCUUACUUAUCGAAAGGACUACAAUUGAUCCCCUAUACUUGUGGGUCAUCACCGCUCCGCAUCCUCGGGGGACCCCGGACGCAUAUAGCCACAACUCGUUGUUACGUGGGCGUGUCACGGGAUGAAGUAGGUUCCAGAAGAAUUGAAGGACGAUGCAGAGGCGAUGCAGAGGCGUUACAGGUAGAACUUUCGAAGAUGCUGGAUGUUCCAAGCGUUCUGGAUGGGAACUCCUUCAUGGGUCUCCAUGAGCACGGUGCCAGGCCUGGAGACAUGGAAGAUCUUGAACGGGCCCUCCCACAUGGGCGAGAGCUUAUGCAAGACCUCCCUGGAUUGAGCCCACCUCAGGACGAGGUCGCCGACUGCAAGGGUCCCGGAGAGGAUGUUGCGGGAGUGAUAGCGCCGUAAGCCGUGCUGGUACCUCGCGGAUCGGAAGGAGGCCCGACAGCGCGCCUCCUCUCCAAGCACGAGGUCCGCCCCCCGCGCAGUCUCCCGACGCUUCUCAUCGAACGCCAUGACCCGCGGGGACCGGUGCUUGAUCUCGUGGGGAAGGAACGCCUAUGCUCCAUAGAGGAGGAAGAACGGGGUUUCGCCGGUAGGCUUAGUCACGGUGGUGCGGAUGGACCACAACACCGCCGGGAGCUUGUCGACCCAACCCCGGCCGCAAGCUUCGAGCUUCUUCUUGAAGCUUCUCACCUUGAGGCCUCGCAAGACCUCUGGGUUGACGCGCUUCGCGGUUGGGCCACCGAUGCAUAGCAUACCUGCGUUCCAAGGUUAGCAUAGUAAAUCUUGAAGAUCUGACUCGUGAACUGCGAACCGUUGUUGGUGAUGUUGCGGUUGGAAACGCCGAAGCGGCUCAUGAGGCCCUUGAUGAAUUUGACGGCUGAUCCAGCAGGGAUAGUGCGCAUGGGCUCCACCUCCGCCCACUUGGUGAUUUUGUCGAUGUCGACAUAGAGGUAGCGGAAUCCGCCCGCCGCCCACGGGAAGGGCUCCAAUAUGUCCAGCACCGAGACCGCGAAGGGCCAGGAAAGCAGAAUGGUUUGGAGGCCCUGCGCGGGCUGGUGGAUCUGCUUGGCAUGGAACUGGCAAGCCUCGCAAGACCGGACCAAAUCGGUGGCGUCGUCCAAUGCUGUAGGCUAGUAGAAACCUGGCCUGAACGCCUUACGUGCGAGCGUGCGCAAAGAGGAGUGAUGCACACAGUCCCCUCCAUGGCUGUCAGCUAGUAUUUCGCGCCCCUGCUCCAUGGAAAUGCACCACAACGUGACGUCGUUCGGGCGCCUGUGGUACAAGUCGCUGUCCCGUAAGCAGUAGGUCGAGGCUUCUCGUGCUAUGCACUCCGCGUCUUCCUCCCUCUCCGUCAAUGUGUCGUCAAGCAGGUACGACCCGAGCUCCUGCAUCCAAUCAUCGGCCCGCGCCUCCAGGGCUAGGAGCAGUCGAGCCCCCGAGACCUGGCCGCAAUCCGGAGCCCCCGAGGGUGAUGCUGGGGGGAGCUCCUCUCCAUUUGGAGCCGAGCCCUUGGGUGACGGCAUCGCGAAAGGCUUGAAGAGUCGCUCCUCGAAGACGCGUGGCUCUUGAGUCUUGCGAUGCGAAGCUCUUUUGGCGAUGUCGACCGCCUCCUUGUUCUCGCCACGCGGGACGUGAUGUAGCUCCAGGCCCUGAAAAUGUUUCUUACUCUUUGUUGGAGAAGUUGACGAGAAGCUGGGAGUCGCCCAUCACGGCGAGGCGCCGGACCCCCAAGGCCGCCGCCACUUUGAGGCCGACGAUGAGGCCCUCGUACUCUGCUGUGUUGUUGGAGACCUUCUCCCCACGCUGGAAGCAGAGGUGUUCAGCGUAGCGGAGCUUGUCUCCCGUCAGGGAAGUGAUCACGACUCCAGCCCCUCCUCCGCUGCGUGUGAAGGCUCCAUCAAAGUGCAUGGUCCAUCACUCGGGUGCCUCCACACCGGGGGCAAGGGAUUGGCUCCCUUCCAGCCCCCGGUCCGGUGCGUCCAUCCACUCCGCCACAAAGUCAGCCAAGGCCGCUCCCUUGAUGACCCUGGUCGUGCUGAAUUCGAUGUUGAAGGCCUGAAGCUCGAUGUUCCAUUCGGCAACCCUUCCCGCCGCAUUUGAGUUAUGCAGGAACUUGUCUAAGAGGUAGGCGGAGACGACCUUGAUUGAGUGCCCUUGAAAGUAGCGACGCAGCUUGCGCGAAGAAACGAGGAGCGCUAGAAGGAGUUUCUGUUGCAUGGGAUAGCGCGAGCGUACAUCCUGCAACACCGUGCUGAAGAAGUACACCGGGUGCUCGACGAGGAUGCACCCCCCUAGGCGUCAUGCUCCUCGGCGAUCUCACGAGGUUCGGGCGUCUCGCGAUCUAGAGGAGGGGCCGGGGCCAGAGGAGGGCCGAGCAUCUCAUGGACUGACCCUGCGGUCUGAGCCUGAGGUCCCUCUGCCUACGGGGGAAUCGAAACUUGCUAGUCAUGCGAGCCCCCAGACUCCACGGGUGCGGGCCCGCCGGGGUUCCCCGAAGUGGCGCCCUUCCUGGUUCGCUCCUCCCUUACUGCCACCAAUGCGGCGCUGGUGGAGUGGGGGUGGCAGCAAGGUACAGAAGCAGAGUCUCCCGUGGGCGAGGCACCACAAUGAGCGGUGGGCUCGUGAGGUAUCUCUUGAGUUCAUUGAAGGUUACGUCAGGCUUCGGGGUCCAUUUGAAGGGCCCCUUUCUUUUCAUGAUCUUUAAGGAAGGCAGGGCCCGCUCGCCGAGUUUGGAGAUGAAACUACCCAAGGAGGUAACACACCCUGCCAACUUCUGCAUCUCCUUAAGGGUGGCGGACGCGCUCAUCUUGUUUAUGGCAUUGACCUUCACCGGGUUUGCCUCGAUCCCCAGGUGCGACACCAGUAAACUGAGCAGUUUGCCUGAUGGGACCCCGAAGACGCACUUCUCGGGGUUGAGCUUCAGGUUCACCUCUCUUAGGCUGGCGAAGGACUUCUCCAGGUCCUCCACUAGGGUCUUUGCCUGCCUUGACUUGACCACGAUGUCGUUGACGUAGGCCUAUGCGUACCUCCCGAGCUGUGGUCCCAGAGCGAUAUGCAUCUACUACUGGAAGGUUGCCCCGGCAUUCCACAGCCCGAAGGGCACACACUCGCAUCAGUAUACCCCACACGGAGAGAGUAAGGCUAUCUUCUCGACGUCCUCCACUGCCAUCUUGAUCUGGUGGUAGCCCGGUAAUGCAUCCAGGAAGCACAGGAGAUCGCACUCCGUGGUGGAAUCCACGAUCUGGUCGAUGCGUGUUAGCGGGAACGGGUCCUGAGGGCAAGCCUUGUUGACGCUCGUGAUGUUGACGCACAUGCACUCCUUCCCGCACUUCUUCGGGAUGACCACCGAGUUGGCAACCCAUUCCGGGUAGCGCACCUCUCGAAUGACCCCUGCCUCCUUCAGAUUGCGCACCUCCUGAGCGAUGAACGCUUGCUUCUCCGGGGCUUGCCUCCUUGCCUACUUCUUCACCGGGCACGCGUUCGGGCACACCAUAAGGUGCUGGUCAAUGACGUCCCGUCGGACCCCCAACAGGUCAGAGGUGCUCCAGGCGAACGCGUCCUGGUUCGCCCUGAGGAAACUCACCAAUGCCUUCUCUUUGGCUUGGAGGAGGUUUGCACCGAUGGUGAAGGUGGGAGCCGAGCUACCUUCAUCCACCGGUACUUGCUUUGUUUCCGCCCGGUCCUGGGAGAACAACUGCUUCUUCUUCACGCACGCGACGUCGGGAGCAUCCCUAGGGUCCUCCGCGGUGUGCGCCGCGCCCCUGAGGUUGGCACGUGCCACUACCGUGGCCUCGUGGGAGAGCUCGAGUACCCGACAUGCGUCCUUGACAUCCCCACGACGGUGAGCACGCUGCCGCUCGCGGGUAUCUUGACAAUGUUGUAGCCUAGGUGCGUUGUCGCCAUGAACUACGCGAGGGCAGCGUAGACGAGUAUUGUAUUGUACGGAAGGUGGAUGCGGGCGACGUCGAAGUCGAUCUGCUCGGUACAGAAGUUGGAGCGGGUGCCGAAAGUGACGGGAGGCGAAUCCGUCCCACAGGGGUGACAUAUCCUACCACCACCUCGGUGAAGGGCUUUGAAGGCGCAAGCUGCUCUCGGGUCAACUGAAAUGCAUCGAAGGCCUCUACUGAGAUGGCGCUGAGGCCCCGGUAGUCGUCGGUGAGGGUCUUGGAGACGGCCACGUCGCAUAUGGUCGGCGUGCACAACAUAGGAAGUGUCCCGGUGUCUGUCGUGGCCUUGGGGUGAUCGUCGGGGCCAAAGGUGAUGUUGAUCUCCAUCCAUACGCAGUGUUCUGCGGCCUCGGGCCUUGGGUGAACUGCCCCCUCGCGCUGUAGGAAUCACUUGACGUGACGGUCGGAAGGUGGCGCCUGCGAUCCACCGAGAAUGCGGGGGACUGUAGGGGCGGCACUGCUCGCUCGGACGCCGUCCACCGCCGGGGACGGGCGGCUGUCGGUGGUCAUGCUUGCCAUGGAGUCGCCGAGUCGAGGUCUGGCUCUUACUGUUGGCGUGCAGGCUCCGACACGUUCCCCCUACCUAGCGCGCCAAAUGUCAGAUUUCGGGCUCCGCAAAACCCUAAAGAUUCGAACUCGGGGGCGCGUGCGAAGGCCACUUGGCAGCUUUGGUUUGCCUGACUCGCUACUCGCUAGGGAUGACAAAGAACUCACUCGAUGGUGAGGAAGACCAAGAACACGGCAGUUUACCCAGGUUCGGGCCGCUGAGAAGCGCAAUACCCUACUCGUGCUUUGGUGGAUUGCCUCUCGUGGAGGUUGGUGGAUGAACUAGUACAUCGCUCGAGAGCCUCCGGAGGCUUGGUGGCCUUUGUGUGGUGAAAAUGGCGAAUGAAUCCCCCCCUCUGUAAAGUAACCUACUCUCUAUCUAUAGUAGCAUCCCCGGUCCUCUUACUUUAUCGUUUUCGGCGGGAAGGGAUCCCACAACGGCCAAUUUGAAAGGGGGGGCAUGGGAACAUGCUUCCUGUGUCAAAAAGUAGUCUUCGCUUGCAAAGUGGCUGCCAACGGAGCACGGAGGGGUCCAGGGAUGACGUCCGUCCUGCUGGGGGCGGUGGUGGCCUUGUUGCACUAGAAUGGAAACCUUUGGGAGAUGCCUUGGAGACUUGCGUGCAUCCUCGCCCCCUUUGCACUAAAGGGGGAACUGCACCGUCCUACUGUCUGCUGCUCGCAUGUCCUUCCCCCGCAUCAUCCUCGACUCCUUAGGCCCGGUCUCGCCUGAGAAUAUCCGCCGCUCCGGAGGUGUCCUGAGGAGGCCCCCUGCGUGUCUUGAUGUUGUUCCUCCUUGCGAGGCUUGGCCCCUCGCGAGGGCCUUGCCUUGAGUGGUGCCGAUCCUGUUGGUUUUUGGUCGAUGAAGUGGCCAACCCU